rnacentral:lncRNA from 1 species
GGCAAGCUGGGUUACCGGGGCCACUUAGGGAAAGGAAACACAGAAACCUGGCAUGCAGGCCAAAGGGUAAAGACCUUCACAAUCGGGAACCCGUAGAUUGGAUCUUCUGAAAACAUCAGAGAAAGACUAUCUUUGCCAUCCACACUACAGUAAAACUUUGGAGCCUUGAACCUUGGAUUUAUAAUCUCACAACUGAGAAGGGUCCCUCCAUACUCCUGGAACUGUACACCCAUUGGAACUCUUAAGGAUGAUAUACAUGGCCAGGUGAAGACAGUAGAGAGAAAACAGAACUGAAAACUCCACACUCUUAAAAGGAGAGAGAAGCAAAGAAGGACAGUCAAUCAAUGCCAGCAUUGGUCAUUUUCUGCACCUUGUGAGGACUGACCAGGAUGAUAUAUGCACAUUUUUUUAUUUCAGUCAUCUUCCACCUGCCCAAGGAGGCAUUUUAUCUAGUACUCAAAGAUCCUGAAACUAGUGUGACACCCUGUUAAGAUCCCUUUACCAGCUAACACUUAAUAUAGGUUCACAACUAGUAACCUAGCCAGGCCUGUGUGAACACAUUAGUUUUAAAUCCAAUGGUUUGUCUAUGUAACUGUAUUAGGGUUCUCUAAAGGGACAGAACUAAUAGGAUAGGUUAAUAUAUGAAAGUUUAUUAAGAGUUUAUUAAGGAGUAUUGACUCACAUGAUCAUAAGGUGAAGUCCCACAAUAGGCUGUCUGCAAGCUGAGGAGCCAGGAAGCAAUUCCAAGUCCCAAAACUUUAAAAGUAGGGAAGCUGAUAGUGCAGCCUUCAGCCUGUGGCCAAAGGCCUCAGAGCCCCUGGCAAAUCAGUGAUGUAAGUCCAAGAGUCCAAAAGCUGAAGAACUUGGGAGUCCGAUGUUUGAGGGCAGGAAGCAUCCAGCACAGGGGAAAGAUGGAGGCCAGAAGAUUCUGCCAGUUU